AUGUUUGUCAUGCCUGUGAUCAGCGUGACACUGAGAUGUGUACGUUAUAUGGGUUGCUUUAUUUCAGAGUCUUCAGCAUUUCUGAAAACUGAUUUUGCCAAAAAAGCUGGACAAGGCCAAACCCUCCUUGUAAUAGACAGCAGUAUGGCGGGGAAAUCCUUCGAGGAAAAAAUCGCCUGGGUGUUGGCAUUAAAGAGGAGAAACAAGUACCCGGAAGGAAUGAAUAAAGCUGGCAGACUUAAUCUGCGUCGAUUUGCUGCCAACUUUUCUUUGGAAGAUGGGACACUUUUCCGUACUGGCAAAGGGAGAAAGGUCAUCGUCGUGCACACCAGGAACCGAGCCCUGGAGCUCUUCGAACAGCAUCAUGGGGGUCCCUGGGGCGGACACCAAGGAAUCUUUAAAACAAGAACCGCGCUGACCACCCGAUACUAUUGGCCUGGGAUGACGAAGGACAUCGUCCAGUGGGUGGAGCAAUGUGUGAAGUGCCAGAAGGGGAGAAAAGCUGUAACUCUGCACACCCCCGUGGAAAGCAAAACGGACACCCCCGUGGAAAGCAAAACGGACACCCCCGUGCAAAGCAAAGAGGUGAAUUUUGGACUUGGAGGCAUCUGCUAUGUAGCUUCUGAAAUGUCUUUUACACCCACAUCGGACAGAAUUUGCUACCUCUGGAGGAUUGGAAAUGGGGACCCCUCGCCUGGUGCUGGGAUGUGGCACCUCUGGGGCAGUGGGGGCCUGGGCUUCUGGGGACCUCUCGCCCGGCGCUGGGACGCAGCCCCUCUGGGAUGGGUGUGGGCUGGGCACAUGGAGUCCCCUUGCCUGGUCCUGGCAGGGUCGGUGCUUCCAUUAGGCGACCCUAGGCGAUCGCCUAGGGCGCCAGGAUUCAGG
rnacentral:lncRNA from 1 species